rnacentral:rRNA from 1 species
AACGAACGCUGGCGGCAUGCCUAACACAUGCAAGUCGAACGAGACCUUCGGGUCUAGUGGCGCACGGGUGCGUAACGCGUGGGAACCUGCCCUUAGGUUCGGAAUAACUCCCCGAAAGGGGUGCUAAUACCGGAUAAUGUCUUCGGACCAAAGAUUUAUCGCCUUUGGAUGGGCCCGCGUUGGAUUAGCUGGUUGGUAGGGUAAAAGCCUACCAAGGCGACGAUCCAUAGCUGGUCUGAGAGGAUGCUCAGCCACACUGGGACUGAGACACGGCCCAGACUCCUACGGGAGGCAGCAGUAGGGAAUAUUGGACAAUGGGCGAAAGCCUGAUCCAGCCAUGCCGCGUGAGUGAUGAAGGCCUUAGGGUUGUAAAGCUCUUUUACCCGGGAUGAUAAUGACAGUACCGGGAGAAUAAGCUCCGGCUAACUCCGUG